rnacentral:rRNA from 1 species
UUAGAUACCCCACUAUGCCUAGCCAUUAACAAAAACAGUACAAACACAAUACUGUUCGCCAGAGAACUACAAGCAAAAACUCGAAACUCCAAGGACUUGGCGGUGCUCCACAUCAUCCUAGAGGAGCCUGUCCUAUAAUCGAUACCCCCCGAUCAACCUCACCAUUCUUUGAAAUUCAGCCUAUAUACCGCCGUCAAUUCAGCCUACCUUAUGAAAGAAGAAAAGUAAGCAAAAGAGUCAUUGACUAAAACAUCAGGUCAAGGUGUAGCAUAUAGAAUGGCAGAGAUGGGCUACACUCUCUAAAACAGAAGAAACGAAUGGCACAAUGAAACACGUGCCUGAAGGCGGAUUUAGCAGUAAGACAAGCGAGAGAACUUGUCUUAAACCAGCUCUGGAGCGCGCACACACCGCCC